CCUACGGGAGGCAGCAGUGGGGAAUAUUGGGCAAUGGGCGCAAGCCUGACCCAGCAACGCCGCGUGAAGGAAGACGGCUCUCGGGUUGUAAACUUCUUUUAAGAGGGACGAGCAGAAGACGGUACGUCUUGAAUAAGCCACGGCUAACUACGUGCGAGCAGCCGCGGCAGUACGUAGGUGGCAAGCGUUGUCCGGAUUUACUGGGUGUAAAGGGCGUGUAGCCGGGCUGACAAGUCAGCUGUGAAAUUCCGGGGCUCAACCCCGGACCUGCAUUUGAAACUGUUGGUCUUGAGUAUCGGAGAGGCAGGCGGAAUUCCUAGUGUAGCGGUGAAAUGCGUAGAUAUUAGGAGGAACACCGAUGGCGAAGGCGGCCUGCUGGGCGACAACUGACGGUGAGGCGCGAAAGCGUGGGGAGCAAACAGGAUUAGAUACCCGGGUAGUC
rnacentral:rRNA from 1 species